CACGUAGGGUGCAAGCGUUGUCCGGAAUUAUUGGGCGUAAAGAGCUCGUAGGCGGUUUGUCGCGUCGAAUGUGAAAUCCCGGGGCUCAACCCCGGGCCUGCAUUCGAUACGGGCAGACUAGAGUUCGGUAGGGGAGUCUGGAAUUCCUGGUGUAGCGGUGAAAUGCGCAGAUAUCAGGAGGAACACCGGUGGCGAAGGCGGGACUCUGGGCCGAUACUGACGCUGAGGCACGAAGGUCAGGGGAGCAAACGGG
rnacentral:rRNA from 1 species